ACAUUAGUGGUUCAGUGGUAGAAUUUUUACAUUCUGUACAGGAGACCCAGGUUCAAUUCCUGGCCAAUGCA
rnacentral:tRNA from 1 species